rnacentral:rRNA from 1 species
UACGAAGGGGGCUAGCGUUGUUCGGAAUCACUGGGCGUAAAGCGCACGUAGGCGGAUUGUUAAGUCGGGGGUGAAAUCCUGAGGCUCAGCCUCAGAACUGCCUUCGAUACUGGCGAUCUUGAGUCCGGAAGAGGUUGGUGGAACAGCUAGUGUAGAGGUGAAAUUCGUAGAUAUUAGCUAGAACACCAGUGGCGAAGGCGGCCAACUGGUCCGGAACUGACGCUGAGGUGCGAAAGCGUGGGGAGCAAACAGG